rnacentral:rRNA from 1 species
GCCAGCGACGUGCAAGAGUGGUGGGUAAUCCGUGGGUGGGAGGCGUUUCUCUACUGUGCUGGUCGGAAAUUGCUGGUAGGCGGUGUGUCGCGUCGCCCGAGAACACUCGUAGCAUAACUCCGAGCUGGCGUGCGUUACGGGCAGACUUGAGUACUACAGGGGAGACUGGAAUGCCUGGUGUAGCGGUGAAAUGCGCAGAUAUCAGGAGGAACACCGGUGGCGAAGGCGGGUCUCUGGGUAGUAACUGACGCUGAGGAGCGAAAGCAUGGGUAGCGAACAGGAUUAGAUACCCUAGUAGUC